rnacentral:lncRNA from 10 species
ACGCCUGUAGUCCCAGCUACUUGGGAGGCUGAGGCAGAAGAAUCUCUUGAACCCGGGAGGCAGAGAUUGCAGGGAGCUGAGAUCAUGCCACUGCACUCCAGCCUGGGUGACAGAGCGAGACUCCAUCUCAAAAAAAAAAAAAAAAAGAAUGUCAUGUGAAGGCACAGACAGACAUACAUAGGGAAGAAAGCCAUGUGAUGACCGUGGACAGAGGUGGGAUUGGAGUGAUGAGGCUAUGAGCCAAGAAAUACCAAGGAUUACCAGCAACAACUGGAAACUAGGAAGAGGUGAGGAAGCGUUCUUUAUUAGCACCUUCAGAGGGAGCAUGGCCCCGCUGACGCCUUGAUUUCAGACUUCUAGCCUCCAGAACUGUGAGAGAAUCAAUUCAUGUUGUUUUAAGCCACUCACCUGUAGUGCUUUGUUACGGCAGCCCUAGUAAACUAAUACUUUUUUUUUUUUUAACAUUUAGUGGUUUUUUUUUUUUUUUUGAGACAGUCUUACUCUGUCACACAGGCUGGAGUCCAGUGGUGUGAUCUUGGCUCACUGCAGCCUCAAACUUCCCAGGCUCAGGUGAUCCUCCCACCUCAGCCUCCCAAGUAGCUGGGACUACAGGUGUGCGCCACCACACUUGAAUACUAACACAUAUUUUGGUACCAGGAGGUGAAGUGCUGCUGGCUGCUGUAAUAAAGAACUAAAAAUGUGGAAGUGGUUAUGAAAUGGGAUAGUGGGUAGAGGCUGGAAGAAUUUUGUGGUGCAUGAUAAAAAGCUUAGACUGUCUUGAAGAGACUGUUAGUAGAAAUUUAGACAUUAAAGAUUAUUCUGGUGAAGGCACAGAAGGAAGUGAAGAGGAUGACAGAGAAAGCGUCCAUCAUCUUUUUUUUUUUUUUUUUUUUUGAGACAGGGUCUCACUCUGUUGCCCAGGCUGGAGUGCAGUGGUGCAAUCUCAGCUCACUGCAACCUCUGCCUCCCAUGUUUAAACAAUUCUCCUGCCUCAGCCUCCUGAGUAGCUGGGAUUACAGGCACAGGCCACCAUGGCUGGCUAAUUUUUUGUAUUUUUAGUAGAGACGGGGUUUCGCCAUGUUGACCAGGCUGGUCUCGAACUCCUGGCCUCAUGUGAUCUGCCCAUCUCGGCCUCCCAAAGUGCUGGGAUUACAGUCAUGAGCCACUACGCCCGGCCAGCUUCCACCAUCGUAAAGAGCACAUAUAUCAUCAUGAAAAGAACGUUGAUAGAAAUAUGAACAUUAAAGGUGCCUCUGUGAGCCCACAAGGGGAAAUGAGGUACCUUUUCCUGGACCCUAGAGAAAAGGUAAUCCAUGUUAUAAAGUGGCAGAGAAUGUGGCUAAACUGAGUUCCCAUGUUGGACGGCUACAACCAAGACUGAUGGUAACAAGCGCAGGCGGGUAUGUGGAGAAAUCAGAGCCCUCACACACUGCGGGAGGGAAUGUGAGAUGGCGAAACAGUGUGGCAGUUUCUGAAAAGGUUGAAUGUAUAAUUACCAUAUGACCCAGCAAUUCUACUCCUAGCGUACAGUGAGGAGAAAUAAAAAUAUAAGUCCGCACAAAAACUUAUGCCGGAUGCGGUGGCUCAUGUCUGUAAUCCCAGCACUUUGGGAGGCCAAGGCAGGUAGAUCUCUUGAGCCCAGGAGUUUGAGACCAGCCUGGGCAACAUGAUGAAACCCCAUCUCUACAAACAAAUACAAAAAUUAGCUGGGUGUGGUGGCGAGUUCCUGUAGUCCCAGCUACUUGGGAGACAGAGGUGGGAGGAUUGCUUGAGCCCAGGAGAUGGAGGCUGCAGUGAGCUAAGAUCGUGCUACUGCACUCAGCCUGGGCAACAAAGCAAGACCCUGUCUCAAACAAACAAACAUAGAAAACACCUUGGACAUGAAUGUUCACAGCAGCAUUAUCCACAUAGCCCAAAAGUGGCAACAACUCAAAUGCCCAUCAACUGAUGAAUGGAUACAUAAUGUGUGGUAUAUUUAUAUAAUAGGAUGUUAUUUGGCAAUGUAAAGGAAUGAAAUACUGCUACAUGCUACACGAAUAAACCUUGAAAACAUUAGUGGUAGCUUAAGGCAGAAGGAAGGGUUAGAGGGAAAUGGGAAGUGACUGUUGAUGGGCACAGGAUUUCUAUCUGGGGUGAUGAAAUGUUCUAAAACUGAUUGUGGUGAUGGUUGCACAACUCUGAACACACUAAAAACCACUGAACUGUAUACUUAUUUAUUUAUUUAUUUAUUUAUUUAUUUUUUUAGAGACUGAGUCUCGCCUUGUCUCCAAGGCUGGAGUGUAAUGGCACGAUCUCAGCUCACUGCAACCUCCACCUCCUGGGUUCAAGUGAUUCUCCUGCCUCAGCCCCCCGAGUAGCUGGGAUUACAGGUGUGCGCCACCACAAAUGGCCUGAACUGUAUAUUUUAAAUGGGUGAAUUCUAUGGUAUAUGAAUUAUAUCUCAAUAAAGCUAUCAUUUUUUUAAAGGAACUAUAAGGCAAUAAAUUGUGGAUUAAACUAAGAAAAAGUCAUAAUGUUGGAAUAGAAGACAAGCCCAAGGCUGUUUAUCAGAAGAUAAACAUGGAAAGAUGAUUAAUGGAUCAUAAAAACUGUAAUAGUUUCAAAACUUGAAAGAUGAAGGAAAUCCACAAGCAUCUUGGAAAAUAAUCAGAUUAACUUCAAAGGAAAAAAACUGGGGUGGCUGCAGGCUUCUCUGCAAAACUGAAUGUUAGCAUCAAAUCUAUAUAUUUGGAGGGAAGACACUGUCCUAUAACCUGCCUCAGGUAGCUGCUGUUUGUGUGAGAAAGAAAUCAGUGGCUGGAUAACCCCCACCAAGCACAAAAUGGGUUAAAUGAGCUACAAAAUGAGUUAUAAAAAUUGCUUACUUUUUUGAAAGAGAUUAUCAAUUCUGAAGAGAAAGAAUAGAUAAAAAAUAAAACCACAACUUGAGUUCAGGAGUUUGAAACCAGCCUGGGCAAUAUGGUGAAGCCCCAUCUUUACAGAAAAUACAAAAAUUAGCCAGGCGUAGUGUUGCACACCUGUGGUCCCAGCUACUCAGGAGGCUGAGGUGGGAAGAUGGCUUGAGUCCAGGAGGCGGAGGUUGCAGUGAGCUGAGAUGGUGCUACUGCGCUCCAGCCUGGGUGACAGAGCCAGACCCUGUUUCAAAAAUAAAAUAAAAUAGGCCAGGCAUAGUGGCUCAUACCUGUAAUCCCAGCACUUUGGGAGGCCAAGGCGGGUGGAUCACCUGAGGUCAAGAGUUCAAGACCAGCCUGGCCAACAUGGUGAAACCCUGUCUCUACUAAAAAUACAAAAAUUAGCCAGGCAUGGUGUCUCACAACUGUAGUCCCAGCUACUCGGGAGGCUGAGGCACGAGAAUCACUUAAACCCGGGAGGUAGAGGUUACAGUGAGCUGAGAUUGCACCACUACACUCCAGCCUGGGAAACAGAGUGAGAUUUGGUCUCAAAAAAUAAAUAAAUAAAUAAAAAUAAAAUAAAAUAAAACCAUGAUGCUGUACUCUGCCCAAUUACAUCGAAAAAACAGAGCAAAAAGGAAAUGAAUGGCAAUAAUACAACAUCAUCUUUCCCAACAGAAGGUCAAAAAUUAUUUUCCUGUGACAGUAUGAGCUUUGUUAAGUAUAUUUCAAUUAUGUGCAUCCAGCCUGAGAAUGUCUUUGAAAAGCUUUAAGGUAAAGACUAUUGGAAUAAAAACAUUGCCUACCUUUCAAAUAACAAAAAAGAUCAUAUCUACACAGAAAAAUUGGAAUAAAGAGAAAAUUCCAAGGUAUUGAAAACAAGAUCAAACAUACCAGUAAUGAUAAUAAUAAACCUAAGUGGUUGCAGAUGCCUUGAUGAAAAAAGCUCUUGGGCUAGGCUAAAACUCAAAGCAAGUAUAUGCUUUUGUUUUGUUUUGUUUUGUUUUCUUUUCUUUUGUUUUUGAGACAGAGUCUUGCUCUGUCACCCAGGCUGGAGUGUAGUGACAUAUCUUGGCUCACUGCAACCUCCUCCUCCUGGGUUCAAGCAAUUCUCCUGCUUCAGCCUCCCACGUAGCUGGGAUUACAGGCAUGCGCCACCACGCUCAGCUACUUUUUACAUUUUUAGUACAGACAGGGUUUCACCAUCUUGGACAGGCUGGUCUCAAACUCCUGAUGUCAAGUGAUCCACCCACCUCAGUCUCCCAAAGUGCUGGGAUUGCAGGCAUGAGCCACUGCGCCUGGCCUAUGCUCUUUAUUCUAAAGAAAAUGAUACAAAAAUGUUAAAAAUAAAAGGGAAAAAAUAUAAUAAAAAAAUAUGGACAGGUUGGGCAUGGUGGUUCAUGCCUGUAAUCCCAGCACUUUGGGAGGCCAAGGAAGGAGAUCACUCGAACCCAGGAGUUCAAGACCACCCUGGGCAACACAGCAAGACCACAUCUCUAAAAAUUUUUUAAAUUUAGGACAGGGGCAGUGGCUCAUGACUGUAAUACCAGCAAUUUGGGAGGCCGAGGUGGGAUCACCUGAGGUCAGGAGUUCAAGACCAGCCUGACCAACAUGGAGAAACUCCGUCUCUACUAAAAAUACAAAAUUAGCUGGGCUUGGUGGCUCAUUCCUGUAAUCCCAGCUACUCGGGAGGCUGAGGCAAGAGAAUCACUUGAACCCGGGAAGCAGAAAUUUUUUUUUUUUUUUUUUAAUUUUGAGAGGGAGUUUUGCUCUUGUUACCCAGGCUGGAGUGCAGUGGCGUGAUCUCAGCUCACCACAACCUCCGCCUCCCAGGUCUCCAACUCCUGACCUCAGGUGAUCUGCCCACCUUGGCCUCCCAAAGUGCUUGGAUUACAGGCAUGAGCCACCGCACCCGGCCAAAAAAAAAUUUUUUUUUUAAAUUUAGCUGGGUAUGGUGAUGUGUGCCUGUAGUCCUAGCUACUCGGGAGGCUAAGAUGGGAGGAUUACUUGAACCUGGGAGGUCAAGGCUGCAGUGAGCCAUGAUGGUGCCAUUGCACUCCAGCCAGGACAACAGAGCAAGACCCUGUCACUUAAAAAAAAGAAAAAAUAUAUGGACAGAAAGCAGGAAUAACAAAUCAAAACCAAGAUGCAAUACCACACCCAUUAGGAUGGCUACUAUUAAAAAAAGAAAAGAAAAGAAAACAACAAGUGUUGACAAGGAUGUGGAGAAAUUGGAACCUGUGUGUACUUCUGGUAGAAAUGUAAAAUGAUGCAGCUGCUAUGGGAAACAGUACAGCAGUUCCUCAAAAAAAUAAAAACAGAGGCCGGGUGCGGUGGCUCACGCCUGUAAUCCCAGCACUCUGGGAGGCCGAGGCGGGUGGAUUGCCUGAGGUUGGGAGUUUGAGACCAGUCUGGCCAACAUGGUGAAACCCUGUCUCUACUAAAAAUACAAAAAAAAUUAGCUAGGCAUCGUGGUGUGGGCCUGUAAUCCCAGCUACUCAGGAGGCUGAGGCAGGGGAAUUGCUUGAACCAGGGAGGUGGAGGUUGCAGUGAGCUGAGAUCAUGCCACUGCCCUCCAGCCUGGGCGACAGAGCGAGAUUCCGUUUCAAAAUAAAUAAAUAAAUAAAUAAAUAAUAAAAACAGAAUUACCAUAGGAUCUGGCAAUUCCACUUCUAGGUCUAUACCAAAAAGAAUUGAAUUGAGAGCAGGGUCUCAAAGAGACAUUUGUAUCCAUGUUCACAGCUGCAUUAUCCACAAUAGCUAAAAAGUGGAAGCUGUCCAAGUGUCCAUUGGCAGAUGAAUGGAUACACGAAAUGUGGUAUACAAUAGAAUCUUAUUCUGCCUUAGAAAGGAAGAAAAUUCUUAAGGCUGGGUGUGAUGGUUCACAUUUGUAAUCCUAGCACUUUGAGAGGCCAAAGUGGUAGAAUCGCUUGAGGCUAGGAGUUUGAGACCAACCUGGGCAAUAUAGUGAGCCUCCCUUCUCUACAAAAAAUAAAAAAAUUAUCUAGGCAUGGUGGUGUGCACUUGUUAGUCCCAGCUACUAGGGAGGCAAGAGAAUCGUUGAGUCUAGGAGUUUGAGGCUGCAGUGAUUUCCACAUUGCACUGUAGCCUGGGUGACAGAGUGAGAUGCUGUCUUAAAAAAUAAACAGGAAGGAAACUCUUGCACAAGCUACAACAUGGAUGAACCUUGAGGAUAUUAUGCUAACUAAAGUAACCAGUUACAAAAAGACAAAUACUAUAUGAUUUCACUUAUAUGAGGUAUAUAAAGUAGUCAAAGUCAUAAAGACAGAAAGUGGUUGCCAGGGGCUGGGAGUAGCAAAUAGAGUUAUUGUUUUUCUUUUUAAAAUUUUUUUAGAGAUGGGGUCUCACUAUGUUGUCCAGGCUGGAGUGCAAGGGCCAAUCGUGAAUGAAAUCAUAGCACACCACAGCCUCAAACUCAUGGGCUCAAGCAAUCCUCCCACCUCAGCCUCCCAAGUACCUGGGACUAUAGGUGUGAGCCAGCACAUCUGGCUUGAGUUAUUGUUCAGUGGGUACAGAGUUUCUGUUUUACAAGAUUAAAAGAGUUCUGGAGAUGCAUGGUGGUGAGAGUUGCAUAACAAUGUAAAUGUACUUCAUACUCCUGAAACGUACACUUCAAAACAGCUAUGAUGGUAAAUUUUAUGUUAUGCAUAUUUUACCACAGUAAAAAAAAAUGGAAAAACAAAAGCAGGGGUGGUAAUAUUCAAAUUAGUCAAAGUAUAUAUCCACAGAAAAAGCUUUUCAUAUUGAAAUGGGAACCACCCAUAAUAAAGACCAAGCCAUGAUGGAGCAACUGGUACCAGAUUUGCUCUGGCCCCAACAAAAACAACUAUUAUUAAAAAAGGACAAAUUGGCAGGGCGCUGUGGCUGACACCUGUAAUCCUAGAACUUUGGGAGGUUGAGGUGGGUGGAUUGCCUGAGGUCAGGAAUUCAAGACCAGCCUGGCCAACGUGGUGAAACCCUGUCUCUACUAAAAAUACAAAAAUUAGUUGGUGUGGUGGCGGGUGCCUAUAAUCCCAGCUACUCUGGAGGCUGAGGCACAAGAAUCGCUUGAACCCGGGAGACGAAGGUGGCAGUGAGCCGAGAUCGUGCCAUUGCACUCCAGCCUGGACAACAGGAGCAAACCUCCGUCUCAAAAAAAUAAAUAAAUAAAGGGACAAAUCAAACAACUGUUUUUAGACACGAGACUAGGCAGGACUGUGAUCCUUGAGAGAAGGGAAGCAAGCUGAGGGGAGGAGGCAGCAGCUUACUGCCCAGAGGCACUUCCUGGACUGCAGAGCCAAGCAUAAUGAAGAAAUAAUGGAAGAUUCAAAAAAGGAACAAAAUGAAAUUCCUGGAGCUUCAAAACACCACAUCUGAUAUGAAAAGUUCACUGGAUGGGUUUAAUAAAAAUGCAGAAGUAAAGAUAAGUGAAUUUGAAGACAUAGCAGUAGAAACUAUCUAAAUUAAAGCUCGGAAGGAAAAAAAGACAGAGAAGAAAUGAACAGAAGAAAUUAAAAAACCAGAAGUUCAGUGACCUGUGGGAUGAUACCAAACAGUCUAACACACACAGAGUGGGAGUCCAGGAUGGGAGAAGGGGUGGCAGAAAAUACCUUUGAAGAAAUGAUGGCCAACAAUUCUUCACAUUUUAUAUUUAGAAACCCAGAAAUCCGAGAAUCUCAAUAAACCCCAAGGAUGAUAAACAUAAAGAAAACCAUACUGAGAUACAUCAUAAUCAAAUUGCUAAAAAUCAGCAAUAAAGAGAAAAUAUUCCAGCCUAGGCAACAUCAUGAGACUCCGUCUCUACAAAAAUUAGAAAAGAUUAGCCUGGCAUGGUGGCAAGUGCCUGUAGUCCCAGCUAGUCAGGAGGUUGAGAUGGGAGGAUGGCUUGAGCCCAGGAAGUUGAGGCUACAGUGAGCUAUGAUUGCACCACAGCACUCCAGCUUGGGUGACAGAGUAAGAUCUUGUCUUGAAAAAAAAAAAAAAAAGAAGAAAAGAAAAUAUUAAAGGCAGUCAGAGAAAAAGGAGGUAACAUUAUAUCCAGAAGAGCAAAG